GAGACACCCUUCUGGGGCAGGACUUGCUUCAGUGGGGCUUUCGUGCUCACUGAGUCUGCCCCCUGAGUGUGUCCCU
rnacentral:pre_miRNA from 1 species